rnacentral:rRNA from 1 species
AACGCGAAGAACCUUACCAGGUCUUGACAUCCCUUGCAUAGCCUAGAGAUAGGUGAAGCCCUUCGGGGCAAGGAGACAGGUGGUGCAUGGUUGUCGUCAGCUCGUGUCGUGAGAUGUUGGGUUAAGUCCCGCAACGAGCGCAACCCUUACUAUUAGUUGCUACGCAAGAGCACUCUAAUGGGACUGCCGUUGACAAAACGGAGGAAGGUGGGGAUGACGUCAAAUCAUCAUGCCCUUUAUGACCUGGGCUACACACGUAAUACAAUGGCAAUUAACAACGGGGCGCAAUACCGCGAGGUGGAGCAAAUCCCAAAAAAUUGUCUCAGUUCGGAUCGCAGGCUGCAACUCGCCUGCGUGAAGUCGGAAUUGCCAGUAAUCGCGGAUCAGCAUGCCGCGGUGAAUACGUUCCCGGGUCUUGUACACACCG